AUUCCGGUCUGAUCCUGCCGGAGGACAUUGCUAUUGGGAUUCGAUUUAGCCAUGCUAGUCGAGCGAGUUCAGACUCGCGGCGAAUAGCUCAGUAACACGUGGCCAAGCUCCCCUUCAGUCAGCGAUACCCUCGGGAAACUGAGGUUAACAGCUGAUACAAAACGCCAGCUGGAAUGCGGCGUUUCAGAAAGACAUCGCUGAAGGAUGCGGCUGCGGCCGAUUAGGUAGACGGUGGGGUAACGGCCCACCGUGCCAGUAAUCGGUACGGGUGAUGAGAGUCAGAGCCCGGAGACGGAAUCUGAGACAAGAUUCCGGGCCCUACGGGGCGCAGCAGGCGCGAAACCUUUACACUGCACGGAAGUGCGAUAGGGGAAUCCCAAGUGCGAGGGCAUAUUAGCCCUCGCUUUUCUCGACUGUAAGGUGGUCGACGAAUAAGAGCUGGGCAAGACCGGUGCCAGCCGCCGCGGUAAUACCGGCAGCUCAAGUGAUGUCCCAUAUUAUUGGGCCUAAAGCGUCCGUUGCU
rnacentral:rRNA from 1 species